rnacentral:piRNA from 1 species
UUGCUGGGCUGGGGGAAGAGGAU